rnacentral:rRNA from 1 species
UACGGAGGGUGCAAGCGUUAAUCGGAAUUACUGGGCGUAAAGCGCGCGUAGGCGGUUAGAUCAGUCGGGUGUGAAAGCCCCGGGCUCAACCUGGGAACUGCAUUCGAUACUGUCUGACUGGAGUAUGGGAGAGGGUAGUGGAAUUCCACGUGUAGCGGUGAAAUGCGUAGAUAUGUGGAGGAACACCUGUGGCGAAGGCGGCUACCUGGCCCAAUACUGACGCUGAGGUGCGAAAGCGUGGGGAGCGAACAGGAUUAGAUACCCGCGUA